AAGAACUGUACUGUGUGCCUGAGGACUGGAUUGAAACAUGAGUGUCAGAUCACUAAAGAAGAAUCGCUACCACUUUGCAAUGAGAAGAAACCAGAAGAGAAAGAAAAAACACCAUCUAAGACAGAAGAGCCACCAACACCAGGCAAGAAAGAAAAGACACCACCCGCUGAGACAGAGGAGCACCCAACACCAGAAGAGAAGCCAACACCUGCAGAAGGGAAGCCAACACCAUCAGAAGAGGGACCGACACCAGAAGAGAGAGAAAGGUCACGAUCCAAGACAUUAUCUAAUUCACGAUCUCGAUCAAAUACAGAAAAUACACGAUCUAAUACAUAAGAGUGAGAAAGGACAUAAAAGGGGGCUGGAUGAACACAUAAAAUGAAUUAACUAAUAAUUAAUGUUUUUGUGUUUUAUUUUUAGGCAAUUUUAUAGCUAUAGGUACAUAGAAACAUUUUGUUUCUAAUCUUUUCUAGCUUCAGUGAUGUGAUUUUUGCUUCUAAUCUUUUCUAGCUUAGUGGGAUAAUUAUCAAUAAUUUUGUUUCUAAUCUUUUUAGGCUUGGUAUGAUAAUUAUCAAUAAUUUUGCUUUUAAUCUUUUCGCUUGGUGUGAUAAUUAUCAAUAAUAA